rnacentral:misc_RNA from 1 species
UCCCCCGUGAGGGGGCAGUCUCGCCUGACAUAUAUAACAGACAACGAGGGUUGCGUUCGUUACCCCACUGAAGGGAACAGCUCAAGCCACGAACUGACGACGACCAUGCAUCACCUGCCCAGCACCCUCGAAGGCUUCCCUCCUUUCGGAGGGCGUGCAGCUGGGUUUCAAGCCCGGGUAAGGUUCUUCGCUUAUCGACGAAUUAAGCCACAUGAUCCACCGCUUGUGCGAGUCCCCGUCUAUUCCUUUGAGUUUUAAUCUUGCGAUCGUACUACCCAGGCGGCUCGCUUACCGCGUUAGCUUAGUCCCGCAGAGGGUCGAUACUCCGCAGAACGAGCGAGCAACGUUUAGGGCCAGGACUAC